UACGAAGGGGGCUAGCGUUGUUCGGAAUCACUGGGCGUAAAGCGCAUGUAGGCGGCGAUUCAAGUCGGGGGUGAAAUCCCAGGGCCCAACCCUGGAACUGCCUUCGAUACUGUUUUGCUAGAGUGUGGAAGAGGUUGGUGGAACUGCGAGUGUAGAGGUGAAAUUCGUAGAUAUUCGCAAGAACACCAGUGGCGAAGGCGGCCAACUGGUCCAUUACUGACGCUGAGAUGCGAAAGCGUGGGGAGCAAACAGG
rnacentral:rRNA from 1 species